rnacentral:rRNA from 1 species
AUUGAACGCUGGCGGCAUGCUUUACACAUGCAAGUCGAACGGUAACAGGUCUUCGGAUGCUGACGAGUGGCGAACGGGUGAGUAAUACAUCGGAACGUGCCUAGUAGUGGGGGAUAACUACUCGAAAGAGUAGCUAAUACCGCAUGAGAUCUACGGAUGAAAGCAGGGGACCUUCGGGCCUUGUGCUACUAGAGCGGCUGAUGGCAGAUUAGGUAGUUGGUGGGGUAAAGGCUUACCAAGCCUGCGAUUUGUAGCUGGUCUGAGAGGACGACCAGCCACACUGGGACUGAGACACGGCCCAGACUCCUACGGGAGGCAGCAGUAGGGAAUUUUGGACAAUGGGCGAAAGCCUGAUCCAGCAAUGCCGCGUGCGUGAUGAAGGUCCUCGGGUUGUAAACUGCUUUUGUACGGAACGAAAAGCCUGGGAAGAAUAUACCCGGGUCAUGACGGUACCGUAAGAAUAAGCACCGGCUAACUACGUG